rnacentral:rRNA from 1 species
GAUGAACGCUGGCGGCGUGCCUAAUACAUGCAAGUCGAGCGAACGGACGAGAAGCUUGCUUUUCUGAUGUUAGCGGCGGACGGGUGAGUAACACGUGGACAACCUACCUAUAAGACUGGGAUAACUUCGGGACACCGGAGCUAAUACCGGCUAAUAUUUUGAACCGCAUGGUUCAAAAGUGACAGACGGCCUUGCUGUCACUCAUAGAUGGAUCCGCGCUGCAUUAGCUAGUUGGUAAGGUAACGGCUUACCAAGGCAACGAUGCAUAGCCGACCUGAGAGGGUGAUCGGCCACACUGGAACUGAGACACGGUCCAGACUCCUACGGGAGGCAGCAGUAGGGAAUCUUCCGCAAUGGGCGAAAGCCUGACGGAGCAACGCCGCGUGAGUGAUGAAGGUCUUCGGGUCGUAAAACUCUGUUAUUAGGGAAGAACAUAUGUGUAAGUAACUGUGCACAUCUUGACGGUACCGAAUCAGAAAGCCACGGCUAACUACGUG